UACAGAGGAUGCAAGCGUUAUCCGGAAUGAUUGGGCGUAAAGCGUCUGUAGGUGGCUUUUUAAGUCCGCCGUCAAAUCCCAGGGCUCAACUCUGGACAGGCGGUGGAAACUACCAAGCUGGAGUACGGUAGGGGCAGAGGGAAUUUCCGGUGGAGCGGUGAAAUGCGUAGAGAUCCGGAAGAACACCGGUGGCGAAGGCGGCCCGCUGGGCAACUGCUGACACUGAGGCGCGACAGCGUGGGGAGCAAACAGG
rnacentral:rRNA from 1 species